AGAUUUUGAUAAGAAGCAAAGCUGUGAACAGAGACUGUCUGGUAUGUUCUCAGUAGUCUGAAAUUCAGCCUACUGAACCAUGAACCCUGUCCUGGAUUCAGGUUGUUGAUGACAAGUCAGCACACACGUGCUGUCUCUUCCCCAGCCAGAUGGAUGGGCGACAGCGAGAUGUUAAGGGGAAUGCUGUACUGCACUUGGAGGUGGAGACGUGGAACUCUUGCAGUGAGAGGUGGAGGAACAGAUUGUACACAUCUGUAGGAAAUGAUAUUUUAGCAUUUCUGCUGUCCAAGGAACAUCUGACAUCUGUUUGAAGAGAAGUGAAGGUAUUUGAGAGCUCAGAUGUCAUCUGUUUUCAAAGGCAGUCUGGCUUGAUAUGUAGUGUUUCUAGAAGUAAUACAUUUAGGAUGGCCUCUCCUAGAAUGGGCCUGAAGAAGAGCUCUUCAAUAGCAUCUGCAUCAGCGUCUCGAAGAGAGGCGAUCAGCUGAAGAAUCGAAGCAAACCUGCCCAGGUUUCCAUGGAACAUUGUUGAGACAAACUCCAUCAACGCUUGCUGGGCUUCCUGCUGCAGUGUUUGUACAUGUGGGAGACAUUUUAGGACACAGCAUCCUGUCAAAACAAAAAGUAAAAUAGCAAAUCUUGAGUAUACAUUUCUGUUCUAAGCCCUUCAAUGGAUUUCUGGCUUAUAGCACUACUUUCUCUAUAGAAAAAUAAACAGUUCCUAAAUACACUUUUUCGUAAAAGAA